rnacentral:lncRNA from 1 species
AUGUCUUUGGAGUUGAUGGUCUCUCGAUAUCCCCUUGGUUUAAUUCUCCAUUCUUCUGUCUUUUCUCAGAAACACUUUUCUUCUCAUGCUGAGGGUGGCAAUGUGCUUCUGUGGAGGAAGGAUCUUAUGAACACUUGGGUGUUAUGUGUGCUGCAUCCUUACAGAUGGCUCAAAAGCCUGGACACUGGGCACAAGCUCUUAUUCCUGUGGAAUGCUGCUAUUUCGGUGACUUAUGGUGAUGACCUAGUCCCACAUAAAGGACUCUUAACCUGAAUAAUCACUUACCUAGAGAUGCACCAAACAAGCUUUUGGCAAUUGAAAAAGGGUCCAAAGAAUCUCCCACUGGUAAAUAUUUUAUAUUA